GAGAGGCAGAAAAAAGGUUCGACACUUAGAAACUUUGAGGCAUUAUUCUCGACAUGCUCUGUAGCUAUGACUGGCACCCAAUUACCAGACGAAUGCGCACAAGCAGUUCGAUCUCUUGGUUCACUCUCGAACUACGUUCGGCUUGAUCCUCGAAAGGGGUACGUAGGCAGCCUUUCAUAAGGUUCAGUUCGAACUCAAUCAAAACCAUUUUUCAUAUCUUUUUCGUCUUCUGUUAUCGAGGUGCAACUAAAGUAGGUUUACGGUUUUAGGUUGCUAGGACUAGGUAAUUCGCUGACAGCUCUUGCGGCCGAAGCUUUUAUAAU
rnacentral:lncRNA from 1 species